rnacentral:rRNA from 1 species
GACGAACGCUGGCGGCGUGCUUAACACACGCAAGUCGAACGGAAAGGCCCUGCUUUUGUGGGGUGCUCGAGUGGCGAACGGGUGAGUAACACGUGAGUAACCUGCCCUUGACUUUGGGAUAACUUCAGGAAACUGGGGCUAAUACCGGAUAGGAGCUCCUGCUGCAUGGUGGGGGUUGGAAAGUUUCGGCGGUUGGGGAUGGACUCGCGGCUUAUCAGCUUGUUGGUGGGGUAGUGGCUUACCAAGGCUUUGACGGGUAGCCGGCCUGAGAGGGUGACCGGCCACAUGGGGACUGAGAUACGGCCCAGACUCCUACGGGAGGCAGCAGUGGGGAAUAUUGCACAAUGGGCGGAAGCCUGAGGCAGCAACGCCGCGUGCGGGAUGACGGCCUUCGGGUUGUAAACCGCUUUCGCCUGUGACGAAGCGUGAGUGACGGUAAUGGGUAAAGAAGCACCGGCUAACUACGUG